rnacentral:rRNA from 1 species
UACGAAGGGGGCUAGCGUUGUUCGGAAUUACUGGGCGUAAAGCGCACGUAGGCGGAUAUUUAAGUCAGGGGUGAAAUCCCGGGGCUCAACCCCGGAACUGCCUUUGAUACUGGGUAUCUAGAGUCCAGAAGAGGUGAGUGGAACUCCUAGUGUAGAGGUGGAAUUCGUAGAUAUUAGGAAGAACACCAGUGGCGAAGGCGGCUCACUGGUCCGGUACUGACGCUGA